GAUCAAGUCGUUUGGACUUUGGGGAAGAAACGUAAAUUCACCACUAAAUCGGUUUAUGAUUUCCUGGAGAGAAACCUAGCUGGUUGCAACUUUAAGUGAGUCUGGAGGGCAAAAAUCCCCCUCAAAAUCCAAAUCUUUCUCUGGCAGUUGUCUCAGGACUCUGUUUUGACCAGAGAUGUCAUGAACAGGCGAAGAUGGCUGGGGAGACCCAUGUGCUCCUUCUGUAAUGGAAAGGAAACCUCGCAACAUCUCUUUUUUACUUGCCCCGUGGCUAGAGUGAUGUGGAGAACAGUGGGCUGUGUGCUGGGCACGAAUCAUUGCCCUAACAACAUCUGGCAAUAUUUUGCUUGGUGUUAUACCUUCCUUCCUGAUGGGAAAGAUUUUAUACCUUUGGCCUAG
rnacentral:rRNA from 1 species